UUUAUAUUAAUUUGCUUGAUCUGAACCUGCCCAAAAGCCUGAUGCUUUUUUGUUUCUGCAGUACCACUAUUUGUCAGUACAACUGUUUGUUUAACUAUUCCUGUUUGCAAAGACACUUAGAAUCACUGAUGUUAAUAAAGGUUCUAUUUUUUUUAUAGCUAAGAUCAACGUAAGGUUGAACAGACAGACAGUGAUACCACAACAGUAUAUUUUAAAAAAUCUAGAACUAUGGAAAUGGAAAUUUGGAAAUAAAAUCUAGAACAAUUGGAGGAGACAUCCAAAAUACAAUUGCUCCAGCUAACAGUGCUUCAAUUUCUGCAGCUUCAAAGUUCAAACAACUUGCAAAAAUGUCAACCUUGCCAACCAAAAUACAAUUCUGCCUUCAUUCUUCAUUCCUCCUUAUCCUCAAUGAGAUGGAUGCUUCAAAGUUGAAAAAGGAAUUCCCUGAGUUGCUGCCAAUCAAAGAAUCAUUGGUCAGAUAUUCUUCAUCUCACUUAAAUCUAGUUUUAGCAAAUACACACAGAAUCUAGUGUUGUAAAAGUGAAAUCCAGCAGUAGUAAUCAAGUUGGGUCAUCUUCAAAAUCCAAAAUUGAUUCAUCUUUCAUCAAGAACUGGAUUGGAGAAGAGACAUCAUGCAUUCAUCUAUUCUUCAAAGAUUACUGUAAAAGCCUGGGAUUGCUGGUUUAGAAGUGUUAAUCAAUGACUUCAAAUAACAAACACAUUAGUGCAGCCACAAGUCUAGAGCUAGAAGCAGAAAAAUGAACUUCUUCUACUUGAUGUAAUUGAUGUGCAUAGUCCGUUAAGUGAAUGCGGAAAACUACAAUGACUAGUAAUUAGAGCAGACAUUUGGUAACUGGAAUUUAACUACAAGGCAAAUUAAGAUUCUAUGAUAAGAAUUAUUCAAACUAAGAUAGAGAGUGUGUCACGACCCAAAAUCCAACUAGUCGUGAUGGCACCUAACCCAACCCGUUAGGUAAGCCAACUUUCAACUAUCCAAUUCCAAUAACAAUUAUUAAAGUAAUUUAAGUAAAUAAAGAUCUUAAUCCUAUAUAUUCCCCAAGAACUGGUAGCACAAAUCAUGAAUUUCUAAGAAUAGAAUUUACAAAACUGAUAAGAAAUAAUACAUCAUAUGUUCGAAAUGUAUAUGAACAGAUUGUUAUAAAUCUAAGGCUACCAUGAACAAGAGGCAGCUACAACCGGGACGCAUGUACAUCUUCAGAUCCAGAUCCCAACGAACACAGCAAUAUCAGCAGCCAACAUCUGCACGCAAGGUGCAGAAGUGUAGUAUAAGUACAACCGACCUUAUGUACUCAAUAAGUAAUAAACCUAGCCUUAGGUUGAAAGUAGUGACGAGCUUGUACCAAGGUCGGGUCCAAAACCAAUAGUCCAUAACAACGUAAAGCAAAUAAUACAAUAAGUAACUCAGAGAUAACAUUCUCAGUUAAAUCAUGAUUUUCAAAAAUAGUUCUUCCUUUCAAGUACAACAGUGAAAACCCAAAUCUUUUACCGAAGUUGCCAAAAAUAUGAAUAAGUUUGAAAAAAAUAAUUUUCCCAAAAUCCUUUCAAUAAUAAAUAAGAUGAUUCAUUUUCUUUGCAGAUAACCAGUGUAAAACAAAUGCAUCACUAUGCCCAUCUGUCAAUAUGUGUGAGAAAUCAUGAAUGAUGUGAUACUGUACAACAUGAGAAAAAUACAUCUCUAUGUCUGUAUGUCAUGUGUGCAUGUCAAUGCGAUGCAACUCAGUGAUAAAAUCAUAUGUAUACUCUUAGAGUAUCAUUUCACUCAGUCCUCCCAGUUACUUAGUCCUCACAGUCACUCAAUACUCCAAAUCGCUCGACACUCGCACUCGACACUCGGUACUCGUACUCAGUAGGUACCUGCGCUCACUGGGGUGUGUACAGACUCCGGAGGGGCUCCUUAAGCCCAAACGCUAUAAUCUGCACGGACAACUCACGUGCUAUAAUAAUAUCUGGAUCCGCACGAACAACUCGCGUGUUGCAUAGACAACUCACGUGCUAUCAUAAUAUCUGGAUCCGCACGGACAACUCACGUGCUAUAAUAAGCCAACCUGGCCUGCUGCGGCGUGCAACUCGAUCCUAUAAUUAUCCUCACAAUCAGGCUCUCGGCCUCACUCAGUCUCCAAUCUCUCCAGUCUCUCGGGCUCACAAUGUCAUGAAAAUCAGCCCAAAAUGAUGAUAUGAUGAAUCAAUAAAUAACAACAGAGACUGAGAGAUGAUAUGAAAUGAAUGAACAUGACUGAGUAUGAAAUUUUAAUUUAAAUAAAUAAUUCAACAACAAUAUGACCUAUGUGGGUCUCACGAAACCCCGAAUUUAAGCUUCUGCCCCAGCGAUUUCCGCAUCUGCGGACAAGGGGUCGCACAUGCGACCCUCGCUUCUACGGACAAUUGUCGCACCUGCGCUGCCCGGCUCACCAUUUUCCGCUUCUGCGCCCAUCCCUUCGCACCUGCGGCCUCGCAGAUAGGGGCAAAAUUUUCGCACCUGCGAGCACUGCCCAACUCCACUCUUGGCCGCUUCUGCGAUUGGUUGCGCGCACAUGCGGCCUCGCAUCUGCGGUCAGACAUUCGCAGGUGCGAAAAUACCAGAAACAAAAUUUUCAUCAGUGGUUUUAAGUCCGAAUUUGAUCCGUUAACCAUCUGAAACUCUCCCGAGGCCCCCAGGACCUCAAUCAAUUAUACCAACAAGUCUUAUAUCUCAAUACGAACUUAGUCGAAUCCUCAAACCACCUCGAGCAAUAUCAAAAACACGAAUUACACAUGGAUUCAAGCCUAACGAACUUCGAAGUUUCUAAAUUUUAUAAAGGAUGCCGAAACCUAUCAAAUCACGUCCGAUUGACCUCAAAUUUUGUACACAAGUCACAUUUCACAUUACGGACCUAUUCAAAUUUCCAGAAUCGGAUUUCGACCCCAAUAUCAAAAAGUCAACCCCUCGGUCAAACUUCCCAAAAAUUCAACUUUCGCCAUUUCAAGCCUAAUUCCACUACGGACCUUCAAAUAAUUUUUCGGACACGCUCCUAAGUCCAAAAUCACCAUUCGGAGCCAUUGGAAUCAUCAGAUGUCAAUCGAGGUCUUUUACACAUAAGUGAAUAUCCGGUCAACUUUUCCAACUUAAGUUUUCAAUUAUGAGACUAAGUGUCUCAUUUCACUCUGAAAUCCUUCCGGACCCGAACCAACUAACCCGAUAAGUUAUAAAUCAAUUGUAAGGUAUAAAUUAAGCAGUAAAUAGGGGGUACAGGGCUGCGAUGCUCAAAAAGACCGGUCGGGUCAUUACAGAGUGCGUGCAGUAGUCGGACCUUUAAAGAAGGAUACUACAAAGACUUUUUUGGUAAUGGAUUUGGGGAAAAUUGUAAUCAAACAGCUUGAAGUUUCAGUUCUAUAUUCAUUCUAAUUCAAUUCUUAUCUAUUCAGCUAGAAGUAGCACCAGCACAAAUACACCUAGUGUUAACAUGUUUGUACAGUUUAUACCUUUUAAAACACUGGUAUGCUGAGAAAACUAUAUUAACACUGUCAAAACUAAAGUAUAUCUGUCAAAACUGAAGUAACAUCUGCUAGUGUUCGAAUUCUUACCAGAUAUAUUAACACUACACAUUAAUUACGGAAGUGUCAUUUCCAGCGCUAGCUAAAUCUGAAAAAAUAUUAUAAUAAUGAGUCAUGCGAUAAAUAUAAAUUAUUUACAACACUAAUAUACAACAAAUAUAGUAACAAUAUUAUUUCCUUAUUCAAGCUGCUCGAUUUUAUCAAUAUCUUCCUUAACACUAAUAGGUUGUUUUAAUUUUUCAUUUCGAAGCCAAUCUUGAAGACACACUAGAGCUUGCACCAAUUUAGGAGUUAAUGAACUCCUAAAUGAAUCAAGAAGGUGUCCUCCCAUACUAAACGCGCAUUCAGAUGCCACACUUGAAACCGAAACAACUAAUACAUCACGAGCCAUCUCCGCAAUAACAGAAAAUCUAGCUGAGUUUAAUUUUACCGGAGAAGAACAUCAAAUUCUUUAGUGUCCUCCUCAGUUUCUUCACCAAAAUAUUUAUUUAACUAUGUUCUAGUAUCCACACCUCCACUCACAGUUUUAUAUAUUUUUAGAUCUAGCAUGAGUGAUUCUAAAAGUCUUGUAUUUUGGGUGCUUACUUGACUGCCAGAAAGCCCGGAAGUAGAAAUGUCCAAUGAAGAGCAAUGUGAAGAUGAAGCAAACGCGAUACCUUUUGAGCUGGACUUUACAUAUUCACUAAAUAAUGAAGACAUAUACUUCUUCACUUCUUGUAUAGUUGCCCCUGGAUUUUCACCAAAUAUCUUUACAAGUGCAUAGUCAACUGAUUCGAGCUUGUAAUUUUAUCCAAAAUACAUGAGAUGAAAAUUAUCUUGUUCAUUUUUUCUAGAUCACCCCAAUACUUAUCAAACUUUUCUUUCAUCUUCUUUGCCAUUUCACUUAAAAUUGUAUCUUCAUUUGCCAUCAAUUGCUUCAAAUAAACAGCAACCGCACAAAUUUCAAGAAAAUGAAUAUUUGAUGUAACAUAACGUGACCUAGAUAUUUUCAAAGUAAGAAGAUAGAAGAUUUCAAGAAACUUUGUAGUUCUUUUUACAUUCUCCCAAUCACUACUCAAAAGUUCACCAGUAGGAAUUCCAACUUCAAUAUAAGAAUGCUCAAGAUAAUGCCUCAUGCCAAUUCACUAGAAGCAUAAUGUGAAAAUGCACUUUCAAAUUCAACAGCCCUACGCAACAUCAAGUAGGUGGAAUUCCACCUAGUUGGAACAUCCAAGCAUAAAGUUUUUUUUUGUAAUUGAGUUGUUCAUCAUCAAAACGUUUUUGAAACCUCUUCAACCUCGCGGAGACUGCCUAACAUAUCUCAUUGCAUGCCUAACACGUUCAACAGAAGCUGAAGAUUCUUUUAAACCAUUCUGGACUACAAGAUGCAUGAUGUGAGCUAUACAUCUCAUGUGAAGGUGAUUAUCGUUCAUCAAAUUAGUUACCAUUUUUGUUAAUUACUUAGACAAUUCUUUCUCUUUCACAUCAUUUGAGCUUGCAUUAUCAACUGUGAUUGUGAAGAUCUUAUUUAUCCCCCACUCACGUAAGCACCUACCAAUACCAUUUGCCAUAACCUUUAUGGCUAAUAAUAGGACAAAAAUUAAUUAUUCUCUUAUGCAUAUUACAUUCACUAUCAGUACAAUGGGCAGUGAUACACUUGUAAUUGAUUCUUUAUAUAGAAGUUCAGGUAUCAGUGGUAAUACAUACUCUUUAUUUUGUUUCGAUAAAAGACCUCUUCAACUUUUUCUUUUCUUCAUUAAAAAGAUCAACCCUAGUUACAGUACUACGGGAAGGGAUCCGAAAAUAAGGUUGCGCUACUUUCAUAAAGUCUCUAAAACAUUCUUUCUCAACAAAGCUGAAACGAAACUCAUCAACGAUUACCAUACGCCAUAAUGCCUUCCUAUACUCUUCUUGAUCAAAUUUUCAAGUAACAACAACUACGUCACCCUGACUACCCCCAAGAGCAGAUUGAAAGCCCAAAUUUGAUUGUUUUUUUUAUCAAUAUUAGCAGGGCGUUUAGGACACUUAAAUAUAUGAGAAAGAAGUAUCGACGUACAGUUAUUUGUCUUAAAAUAAUACUCUCAAAAGCAAUAGUCACAUUAUACUCACUCGUUAUUUAGUGCAAGACGAAAAAGUAUUUUUCAUUUAGAACUUAAUCGAAAAUGAAUUAGAAAAGUAAAUUUAUUUCCAUAAAUUAUGUUUGCUAACUAUGUUUUCUGAAACUUUAUGCUUUCAAAACUUUUAUAUAUUAAAAGUAUACCAAGACAAAGUAUGACGAGGAAAAUGGCAUUCUUCUGCCACAAGUUUUAUUUAACUAAAAUCCUCUUUUAAUCCCCAGAAUAGUUUUGACAUUUCCCCACACUUUUGAUAUAGAUUUGGUCUCCAAUAGCAUAAAAAUAAAACAAUCUCCAAAGGAACAAAAAUAAAGUUUCUAAGAUUACAUAGAUCCAUAAUGUAAUUUUUUUUUAUCAAUAGCAGAACUAAAGAUUCGACCAUCAAGUAAAGAUUCGAAAAGGAGAAGAAAAUAGCUGACCGUGUGCCAUCUGCUGCUCUGGCUAUGGCCCUAUGGAGGAAACGAGGAAGUGACUUGAUGCUUAGAGAAGAGAAUGAGAUUUUCGUUGAGUUUUUGCCUUGUUGGUGUCGCAACUCGCAAGAACUGUUUGGUUGAGUUGUUGUUGCCUCAAGUUCAGAGACAUGUAGUACUCAAGUUGAGACCUUGAGACCUUUCUGUGGAAUCCUUAGUGUGGUUGAGUUGUUGUUGCCUCAACCCUCAAGUUCAGAGAGUAGAGACUGAGAGGCGAGAGCGGAGAGAAUGUUUUUGACUGCUGAGGCAAAUUAGAAAUUAGGAAUUUAGAUUUUAGGGUGGAAGGUAUAUUUAAUAUACAUAUGGAUAAAAAUAUAAAUAUAAAAAUUCUUUAACGGUUUAUCCGAUAAAAAAAAUUGAAUAAUACACCCUCAAACUGAUAAGAAUUUAAUUACAAAAUUUUAAACCUUUCACCAUCCAUUAAUUCGAUAACCUGAUACCAAUAAGCCAAUUUUGCGAUUCGAUUUUCGGUUACGGUUCGAUUUUGAACAGCCCACUUAAGACUGUAAAGAUUUGUCAAGCUUGCAAACAUGAGUAGGGAACUAUGGAUGAACAAAACGUGGAGGUUGAGCCAUAUAAACAUCCUCUUGCAACUCACCACGUAGAAAAGCAUUUUGAACAUUUAAUUGACGCAGUGGCCAGCCAUAGGUCACUGCUAGCGACCAGAUAAUGUGAAUGGUUGUGGGUUGUACAGCCAGACUGAAUGUUUCAUGAUA
rnacentral:lncRNA from 1 species